rnacentral:rRNA from 19 species
GCGACCCCAGGUCAGGCGGGACUACCCG